GAUGAACGCUGGCGGCGUGCCUAAUACAUGCAAGUCGAGCGAAUGGAUUAAGAGCUUGCUCUUAUGAAGUUAGCGGCGGACGGGUGAGUAACACGUGGGUAACCUGCCCAUAAGACUGGGAUAACUCCGGGAAACCGGAGCUAAUACCGGAUAACAUUUUGAACCGCAUGGUUCGAAAUUGAAAGGCGGCUUCGGCUGUCACUUAUGGAUGGACCCGCGUCGCAUUAGCUAGUUGGUGAGGUAACGGCUCAACAAGGCAACGAUGCGUAGCCGACCUGAGAGGGUGAUAGGCCACACUGGGACUGAGACACGGCCCAGACUCCGACGGGAGGCAGCAGGAGGGAAUCUUCCGCAAGGGACGAAAGUCUGACGGAGCAACGCCGCGUGAGUGAUGAAGGCUUUCGGGUCGUAAAACUCUGUUGUUAGGGAAGAACAAGUGCUAGUUGAAUAAGCUGGCACCUUGACGGUACCUAACCAGAAAGCCACGGCUAACUACGUGCCAGCCGCCGCGGUAA
rnacentral:rRNA from 1 species